rnacentral:rRNA from 1 species
UACAGAGGGGGCAAGCGUUGUUCGGAAUUACUGGGCGUAAAGGGCGCGUAGGCGGCCUUCUAAGUCGAACGUGAAAUCCCCGGGCUCAACCCGGGAACUGCGUCCGAUACUGGAAGGCUUGAAUCCGGGAGAGGGAUGCGGAAUUCCAGGUGUAGCGGUGAAAUGCGUAGAUAUCAAGAGGAACACCAACGGCGAAGGCAGCUAGCUGGACGAGAUCCGACGCUCAGGCUCGAAAGUAUGGGGAGCAAAAAGG